CCCUAUUACCCCAAAUUAAAACCUAUUCAACGUCCUAUCCAGCGUCAAUGUCUUACAAGGGUGAAGAUAAUUCAUCGCCAGAAAAUGUAUGCGGGAGAAUAGCGCGGGUUCGAACAUCGUGGAUCGACGUAAAUCCAGGGAGAAGAUACCUGGUUUGCCCAAAAUCUACAAAUCCGAUGUGCCGUCGAUCAAAGACAAUUAUUCCAGGAUUACUACGAAGCUUAGGUUGAGAAGAUCAAAGCUAGCAACAGAAAAUUGAAGAUAAUACUAGCGAUUUUGUGUUGAUGAUCUGUGGUGUUUUAAUGUGUUAUUGAAAUUGCAAGCAAAUAGUGUUGUAUUGAAUAAAAGUUUGUCCCUGAGGUUGUCUUCUUUCAAUCUUCACUGUGUUGUAAUGAGUUUGAAUAUGUAAGAAUGCUUAAUUUUGAGCUAGGAACUCAAGGAUUCAUUCAAUGGACAUAUGCAUUUAAUUUGAUUGUUC